rnacentral:rRNA from 1 species
CCAGAGUCCUACGGGAGGCAGCAGUGGGGAAUCUUCCGCAAUGGACGAAAGUCUGACGGAGCAACGCCGCGUGAGUGAUGACGGCCUUCGGGUUGUAAAGCUCUGUUAAUCGGGACAAAAGGCUUUCUUGCGAAUUGUGAAAAGGAUUGACGGUACCGGAAUAGAAAGCCACGGCUAACUACGUGCCAGCAGCCGCGGUAAUACGUAGGUGGCAAGCGUUGUCCGGAAUUAUUGGGCGUAAAGCGCGCGCAGGCGGAUCAGUCAGUCUGUCUUAAAAGUUCGGGGCUUAACCCCGUGAUGGGAUGGAAACUGCUGAUCUAGAGUAUCGGAGAGGAAAGUGGAAUUCCUAGUGUAGCGGUGAAAUGCGUAGAUAUUAGGAAGAACACCAGUGGCGAAGGCGACUUUCUGGACGAAAACUGACGCUGAGGCGCGAAAGCCAGGGGAGCGAACGGGAUUAGAUACCCCGGUAGUCCUGGCCGUAAACGAUGGGUACUAGGUGUAGGAGGUAUCGACCCCUUCUGUGCCGGA